UGGUGGAGCGAUUUGUCUGGUUAAUUCCGUUAACGAACGAGACCUUAACCUAUUAAAUAGUUGUGCUAAGCGUUCGCUAUGGGGGCGGCGUUGGGUUCCGGUGCGUGGGCUUCGGCUUGCGUAUUUUGCAACUUCUUAGAGGGACUAUCGGUGCUUUCAACCGAUGGAAGUUUGAGGCAAUAACA
rnacentral:rRNA from 1 species